rnacentral:rRNA from 1 species
AGCGAACGCUGGCGGCAGGCCUAACACAUGCAAGUCGAACGAAGCCUUCGGGCUUAGUGGCGGACGGGUGAGUAACACGUGGGAACGUACCUUUUGGUUCGGAACAACUCAGGGAAACUUGAGCUAAUACCGGAUGAGCCCUUAGGGGGAAAGAUUUAUCGCCGAAAGAGCGGCCCGCGUUAGAUUAGCUAGUUGGUGAGGUAAAGGCUCACCAAGGCAACGAUCUAUAGCUGGUCUGAGAGGAUGAUCAGCCACACUGGGACUGAGACACGGCACAGACUCCUACGGAGGGAAGCAGUGGGGAAUCUUGCGCAAUAGGCGAAAGCCUGACGCAGCCAUGCCGCGUGAAUGAUGAAGGUCUUAGGAUUGUAAAAUUCUUUUACCAGGGACGAUAAUGACGGUACCUGGAGAAAAAGCCCCGGCUAACUUCGUGCCAGCCGCCGCCGUAAAAC